rnacentral:rRNA from 1 species
GACGAACGCUGGCGGCGUGCUUAACACAUGCAAGUCGAACGGAAAGGCCCUGCUUUUGUGGGGUGCCCGAGUGGCGAGCGGGUGAGUAACACGUGAGUAACCUGCCCUUGACUUUGGGAUAACUUCAGGAAACUGGGGCUAAUACCGGAUAGGAGCUCCUGCUGCAUGGUGGGGGUUGGAAAGUUUCGGCGGUUGGGGAUGGACUCGCGGCUUAUCAGCUUGUUGGUGGGGUAGUUGCUUACCAAGGCUUUGACGGGUAGCCGGCAUGAGAGGGUGACCGGCCACAUGGGGACUGCGAGACGCACCAGAAGCCUACGGGAGGCAGCAGGGGGGAAUAUUGCACAAUGGGGGGAAGCCUGAGGCAGCAACGCCGCGUGCGGGAUGACGGCCUACGGGUUGUAAACCGCUUUGGAAUGUGACGAAGAGUGAGUGACGGUAAUGGGUAAAGAAGCACCGGCUAACUACGUG